UACGAAGGGGGCUAGCGUUGCUCGGAAUCACUGGGCGUAAAGGGUGCGUAGGCGGGUCUUUAAGUCAGGGGUGAAAUCCUGGAGCUCAACUCCAGAACUGCCUUUGAUACUGAGGAUCUUGAGUUCGGGAGAGUGAGUGGAACUGCGAGUGUAGAGGUGAAAUUCGUAGAUAUUGCAAGAACACCAGUGGCGAAGGCGGCUCACUGGCCCGGUACUGACGCUGAGGUGCGAAAGCGUGGGGAGCAAACAGGG
rnacentral:rRNA from 1 species